UACGAAGGGGGCUAGCGUUGUUCGGAUUUACUGGGCGUAAAGCGCACGUAGGCGGGUUGUUAAGUCAGGGGUGAAAUCCUGGAGCUCAACUCCAGAACUGCCUUUGAUACUGGCAACCUAGAGGCUGGAAGAGGUUAGUGGAAUUCCCAGUGUAGAGGUGAAAUUCGUAGAUAUUAGGAAGAACACCAGUGGCGAAGGCGGCUAACUGGUCCAUUACUGACGCUGAGGUGCGAAAGCGUGGGGAGCAAACAGG
rnacentral:rRNA from 1 species